ACAGAGGAGAACCAGCAGGAGAGGGAGACACAACCGUAACAAUCUAAAAGGAAGGAGGCCAGGCACGAGAAGGGAGAGGUGCACACCUUCCCAGCUGCAUGUUUCUUGGGGUGCAUCAAGAGCAGGGCGAGCGGGAGAAGGCUCUCUACCCUGGUGCUGCCCUGGUACGAAGAUGAUGGAUCCCUGUGAAUGUGCCAGCCAGAGGAAGCCCAGCCUGUCCUUUUCCAUUGAGGAGAUCUUAAAGAAGCCUUCUGCCAGUACCACCAGCAAUGAAACCAGAAACAGGAAUAAAUACGCUGAGACAUCUCCAGCUUUAAAAGCAGAAUCACCGUGGGCCUUUGAUUUCAGCAGCAGAAGUCAAUUAGAGAAUGACUUCCCUUCGGAUAAAAUGCUUCUCCCUGCCAUGUGUGCUACCCGCAUGACCAGAGCAAAGAAAGUGCAGGCAGCUCACUGCAGGAGAGCUACUAACAGCCCAUCUUCCUUCCUGGGUGAGGACAUAGGACGUGAACACCUGGAAGGCAAAAGAAAACAUGAGGAAGAGGAAGACCAACUGUGUGAUUUCCCAGUGGACCAUCCACUUCAUGUUGAGAGGAAAGGGAAACGGAGAAUCCGGACAACGUUCACAGCUGAGCAGCUUCAGGAACUGGAGAAGAUUUUCCAAGUGACUCACUACCCAGAUGUCCAUAUUCGCAAUCAGUUGGCAGCAAAGAUUAACCUACCGGAAGCCAGAGUUCAGAUCUGGUUCCAGAACCAGAGAGCCAAGUGGAGGAAGCAUGAAAAAUUUGGCAACUUUGGUGGCCUUCAGCAUCUGACAGAAGUUGAUUUCAUUCCUGCUCCCAAGCCAGAUAUCACAGCUCCUAGCUUGAUUCCAAGGAAGCUUGCAGCCACCAUCCCUUCCAUAGGAUACUACUCACCACUGCAAGGGCAGCUGACAACUACUUGGCUGCCCAGCACACUCUCCUACAUCCCCCACCACUUGGAGCUGCUGCCCUUCCCAAAACCAUGCUUGCUCUUCAACAUCCUCCCUGCCUACAGUGCACCACGCUCCCACAAGUUGGAACAGAGCAGUAUCUGUGCCAGCUCUACAUAGAGGAGGAUAUGGAGGAGCAGAGGACUGGGGGAGCAUGCUUUUAUCACCCAUGACAGUUUGCAGGGGGCAAGUGCUCUCCUCAAGCAAAUGUGCUGGGAUGAUAAAUUGCAUGAAGUCAGCUGCAUGAAUACCAACAGAAGAAGCUGCAGGCUAGUGAACAUUGGCAGGAGCCACCAUGGACUGAGAAGGAGAUCCAUGUUGACCAGAGGAGCAGCAUGUUCUAUAGAAACCAAGCCACUCAACCAAGAGCCUCUCCCUGGAGGGACAGUGCACCGAACUGAGUGGUCCUGCAAAAGAACUUGGCUUUUACUCAGCCCUGAGGUAACACCACAUGACUCUAUUGCACCAAUGCCUUGGGGAAGGAAAUAUACCUACUGUGAGGAGUAUGUAGCCCCAGAGUCGGGCCAAACAGGAUUUUCCUCCAUAGAUAUAAGUUGCUUUCCUUGGACAUGCUGAUCUUUACUUGGGGAGGGGCAAAGAACAUGUUUAGGUCAAAAUAUCAGACUUAUAAGAUACUUCUGUUUUCCAAAGCAUUUGGUGAGGGAAGGGAGUGGGUUUGGUUUGACUGAUGUGUUUUUGACUUGAAUAAAGGGACAGAAACACGAUUUGAGCUUAAAUAGAACAGUCUGAGAGGGGCAGCAGGGCUCUGCUCUGGAUUUGGUACUGUGAGUCUCUGGGGGCAAGAGAAUUCUUCAGUUGGUUAAUUAAAAUGCUUAUGAAGAAGCCUCUCAAUUUUUGACCUGAAUUAAGAAAGCUCUAAAACUCCAUCAGAAACAGUAACAAAAAGAGAUGGCCUAACUGAGUUUAAUCUACUAGACAUAAUAGGAUGUUAUGACCCCACAGUUUGGCUUAAUUGUAGAUCAAUAAUGAGAUCGGCCUGCCCAUUUACAAAAUGUCUGUAUGCCCUAUUAUUUGCAUAAUAUUAAUCUCCUUCCAACAUAUGGCUUUCUCCCUGCUUGUCGAGGGUCCAGUGCUCCUUCUGCUGUUGUCUCCACUGACUCAUGGGAAAGGAGAAGGAGAUCCAGGAAGGCAUCAUUUAAAGGGUUGCAUCGUUUUCUGUUUUGCAGCCACAACACACAUUGCACACCAAUAGGGGAAACUGCUGAGCAAAGGCAUUAAAAUGUGGUCUCCCCCCCAGACAUAUCACUUGUAAGGGUGACCAUUUGUGACACAGUCCAAAUACAAAGCAAAUCAUCACCCGCAUGCUUGCUGAAGAGUCUGCUCUGUACACAUGGGAGUGCAGGUAGGUUAAUGCCUCUGUAUAGGUUGUAUAUUUAAGAAAUCUCUCUGGAUAGAAUCCAGCUGCCAGGUCUUCAGCCUUUUCCCAGUCUAACUGAUAGUUAGUUACAUAGGGUUCACAGAGAAUUAAUAGCUUUUUUGUUGUCUGGCUGGUACCAGUUGUCCCUGUAUUUUACAUUUGAGACACUUGUAAACAAGUAAGUAGUUGAUCAUUGCAGGGUAAAAAAUGAAUGAGCAAAACCCUGCCUUGUAUGGACUUCAAUUCUCCAGGCCACAACUAUCCAUCAGAAAUCAGAUAUAUUGUCCUAUCUUCCACAGGUGCUUCAUUUCCUUUUUCCUGCAUUUGCUUGAGUCUUUACAUCCUCGUCAUCCCUGGCAUCUUAUCUAUCAUCUAAAGGACAAUCAAGUCAGAUACGGGAUUAAAGUUCAGAACCACAGAUGGGCUAAAGCACCUAACUGAUUAAAAUCAAUAGGAAUUAGUUAUGGUAUUCACCUCUUGCAACUUUAGGUGACUGCAUUGCAGUCUCACCCUGGUCUCACUUUAUAGAAGGAAAAAUGCUCACACUUAGGUUUCUAGGUUUGAUGAAGUCCAUGCAUUAGAGAAGCUUCUGGAGUCUGAAUUGUCCCUGUCCAAUGGGAUAUGCAUCGGCAUUGUAAUCACACCUACUUGUCUCAAUGAGCCAGACCACUAAUAUCAGACAAAUUAGCCCUCUUCAGUACAAGGAAGACAAUUCUGUCAAUGAUGUUUACACACUGUAGACACCUCUGAGCUUUCAGACUGCUCUGGCUUAGCUCACCUAGCUAUCUUGUGUCCUUAAUCUUUCCAUGUAAAUCCUUCAGGGUCAUAGGUAUUGAGGGCAAGAUUCUCAACUGGAUCAAAAACAAUUAGAUGGAUGACCAAGGUCCGAGAACUGACGUAAAUUAGCACCAAUCAAGAAGGUGGAGACUGGAACAAAGUCCAAAGAAGUUGAUGAAUAUGCAUCAGGGAGAAAGAAUGGGAGAGUAGUGAGUUGGCGGGAUCAGGAUCGGCUUUGUUCACGUAUCAGCUAAUGGGGAGAGGUGGCCCUGUGCUGCUGGAAGGGCUGUAGAGAAGGAAAGUUGGAUACCAUAUAGAAACUGGAUUAUGAGGCUGCCCAACUCCUGUUUAGACUAUGUAAUGUGGAAAACUGGCUACAUAUGAGACUGAAAUUGACACCGCUGGGCAGAGCAAGGAGGGACAUGUGCAGUGAUUAUUGCUCCUUUGAUCAAAAGCUAAUUUUGUUGUACCUUUUUCUUUUUUUUUCCUUCUCAUAGCUGGAGCUUCCCAAUUGGCAGACUUUUACCAACACCAUAGUAAGAGAGCCCAGGGGGUUCUAGAAAGCUUUUCUGUUAUCAGUGCUGCUGUUGUUUUGUGGGGGUGGCUGGAAAAGAGAGCUGAGGUUUGCAAGGAGUUGUUUACUUUUGAGAGUUUCUUUUUUUUCUUCCGUGAUUACCACAGUCAGAAAGAGAACAUGCAGACAGAGUGCAGCCUGCUCUGCAAUUCCAAACAGGUACACACUAGACCUCAGGUCAGAAAAAACUGUGAUUUAAAGCAGCUAAACAUCUGGUUCUUCAUGCUCGUUGAGCAAGAUCUGUAUCCUUUUCCCACUCCAUGCUCUGACCUGACUUUGCUAAGCAACUGGAACGUGCGUUUCCUCCACCACCCCACAUCUCCCCGUAGCCUGGACUGCAGGUCUCACCUAAGUGCCUCCUCUUUUUCUCUUCCCUUUUUGAUUCUCAGUAGUUCUGUGUGUUUUUGUAUUUGAGAAAAUUGUAUCGGUUUAACUCAGGGACCAAAUGACCACUCUCAUAUGCAUCUCAGGGAGGACAACCAAAAAGUCUGGAUGCAAAUAAAAGCUUAAUUCACAACAUAGUGGUUAGUGGAAUAAUUCAGGUGGGCCUUCAUCCAGUCAGGAGAUCUUGUUUCUUUCCACAAAUGAUUCCAAACUCUUCUCAAAGAGUACAUCCUCUUUGCUUGUGUCUUCAGGCAAACCUGCUCUGUUUAGCUCGCUUUCAGGCCAUUUUACACAUUCUUACUUUUGCUGAAAUCCAUCAUUUAUAGUGUCUAUCCAAAGAUACCAACAUAGACUAAUGCUGUUUUCAAGGGACUGGCAAUAAAAGCUCACCCCUGGCCUCCCGAAGCCUGUCAGAAUGGAAAGGGCAGGAAGGGAAAGAGCAUUUCAUUCCAUCUCUUCAGAGCUGGGAGACUCUCAAAAGAUUCCAGAACUGUUUCAUUCAUUUGAUCAAAAAUAAACCUGGUGUCAAAGCUGCUGAGGGGUUUUAUAGUAAAUGUUUUAGAAGACAAUCUAAGCAUUUUUUUUUUUUAUCAGCUAGAAAAAAAAAAUAUCUGCAUCUCGAAGUAGCAAAGAAUUAAUUACCCAAAUAGCUGUUUUCACGGUCAUUUCAGGGAGAACGUGUGCCUUCAUGGGACAGCUUGUGUUGGGGCUGAGAGCCCUUCUGGGACCAGUAUAUCACGUGAUACAUGCUGGCCACCUAAAUGAUCUGCAGCCUGUUAAAGAAUUAAAGAGUAUCAGCCAGCAACCACGUGCCGUGAAUUCAUAGCAGCUGCCCCUUUCUCUGCAUUUCAAAUCUCUCUAAUAAUCACAUUCUUUGCUGUUGCAUUCCUCAUCUUUGUCAUGCAGCUAAUGUCAAGUUUACAGGGCAGAAACUCACCGAAUUCUUCAUCAUCUUCAAUUAAAUGUAGGUGCCGCUAUUUACAAACCCCCCCAGGCCUUGUCAGCCUUUAACGGUUUCAAACACUUCCAACAGCAGAAAGAGCCAUUUCAUCUGCUCCUCAACAAUAGAAAGAGCUAAUUUAACACUUCUCUUUCUUUCUCUGCAGGAAACAUGCUCUUGACUCAGGGAUGGUACCCUUUGCUUUGUUUGUGUCUGCUGAAGCUAAGAAAUCGUUUAGGGCCUGCAGCAACAUCAACCUUGCUUGUCACUAAUUUUCCACUCUCUGAAGCCUUGCUAUUCCUUCUAUCCUUUCUUUUGCAUCCCCAUAUGCAUUUAAAAAAACAGUGCUACCGCUACUUUUGCUUUAUUCCCUUGGCUAAUCUCUUUUUACUGCCCUGAAAAUAGGGUCAUCCUUCACAAUGCUGCCAGGAUUCCUGGGGCGGGAGUGAGUGCACGCUCCUUGUAAGGGCACCAGGCAAUGGAAGGUACCUCCGUAUUGCCAUGAAACACUUGAUGGUAUAGAAAGCUACUCAGGAGAGGCCUUCUCCCCAGUUUUUACAGAAAAGGAGGAAUAAAAGAGGGGAGAUUUACACUGAAUAUAAGGAAAAAGUUUUUUACAAUACGGAUAGUGGGGCACUGGCACAGGCUGCCCAGAGAGGUGGCGGAUACCCCAUCCCUGGAAACACCCAAGGACAGGCUGGAGGGGCUCUGAGCACCCUGAUCAAGCUGUAUGUGUCCCUGUUCACUGCAGGGGAGUUGGACCACAUGGCCUUUAAGGGUUCUUUCCAACUUAAAUAAUUCUCAAUUCUAUGGGUAUGUAAGUGUGUAGUGUUCAGGUGUUCAGUCAGUGUUCAUAUGAUUGCCAGGGUUACCCCCUUCUAUAUUUAAAUAAAUGUAGGUUCCCAUCAAGGAGUCUUAAAUCUCAGCCUGCACUGCAGGUGUCUGUGCUAUCUCUUACUGAUGGCAUUUAACAAGCGCUCCUCUGUGCAAUUCCCGCAGUCUCAGACACUUUGAAUUUUACCAAAUUUUAACCUUCAAGUUAACAGUUUUCUGUGUUACUUGUCUGCCUCAGGCCAAUGUCUUAACUUUAAGUGAUUCAGUCUUCUUUGAGAAAGUCUGGGGAAAACAUGCUGUUUUGCUCAUUGUGACAAAAUUCUGGUACCCUUUGAAAAGGGAACUGUGCUUAGAGCAGGAGCUUGAAAUCUGGUACAGAGGCAGCCUUUUCUGUCAACUGUACUUUUUGCUGUCAUUGCCACCAACAACUGUCAUCUGGCCAAAGUAUCAGACUUUGAAGAGAAUCAGUUCACACAGGUUUAUUUCCAGGCCUUCAGGUUAUAGUAGUUACAUUCCCUGAAGAAUCAUAAAAUCUUUAAGGCUGGAGGAGACCACUAAGAUCAUCUAGUCCAACCAUCAAUCCCUUACCACCAUGCCCGCUAAGCAUGUCCCUCAAUGCCAUAAAGGCACAGAGUAGAUGCUCUGUGCAAUGCUUAUUCUGACAGCUCAGCACAACUUCCCCACAGACUCACUUUUCAGCUUGCUGUGAGCAACACAUGGCCCAGACUCUCAUGACAGCCAGCAGAGAUUGUUCUCCAGCUAACAGUGGGGAAAAAUUCCUCAGGAGAGGGGGGCUGGCAAGGAGUUGUGGCUGAAGGAAGUGGAGAGGGAAAAUAGGAAUGGUAUAAAUAGAAGAGCGAUGCUGGUUGAUUGAGGAUGCUCUGAUGGGAGGCCAGGGAGGUGCCACCAGAAAGGACACCUGUAGUUUCAUGGAGUCAAGAUAGGGGAGUUGCAUAGCCAUGAGCCAGGGACAAGAGUUGAUCUGAAUUGUGAUGAGGUUCGGGUUUGUGCCACUGAGCUCCCAGGAGAUGCUUAGCUGGUGGCUUGAAUUUAGGGGAUCACUUGUGGAAGGCUCCUCCUCAUGCUUUGCUUGGCUGGGUCACACUACAGCUCUAUUUGACACUUCUUGAUGGCAGUGUGCAAAGCUCAGGAGUGCUGUCAGCCUUUUCCAGCUGUGCCUUUCUUGAUUCCCUCCUACAAUGGAGAGACUACAUUCCCUCACCUGAAACAUGGGUUGUGGGGCUCAGAUGCCCCUGGCAGGAGCAUGGCAGAGAGCUCAGGGGUCUCAAAAUCUUUCUAAUGCCAGAGCAGGCAGCAUAUAAGACCUGAAAGCUCACAAUUAAUAAUAAAGAGGUCCUGCCUAAGACCUGUCUUUCAGUGAGUCCUUCCAUCUCAUGCAUUCAAUGAAAUCAGGUCCCACAGGGAAAAAAGCAUCCAGCAAUCACUUACUUAAGGACUGUCACAAUACAAGCACAAAAAUGGGCAGAGCAGAGUAUUCACUCCACCCUCUUAGGGUUUCCUACGUCUUUUAGUGCUUGAUUUAGCUACCUUUUUCUUUACUCAGCUUCAGCCUACAGUGUUGCAUAGAGCAUCACUGGGGAGGGGCAAACAACCAUGAGGAUAAGAAUUCUUUGUGCUAUGAACAAAGCUAAAAAUUCUCAUUGACUCUGAUGGAAAGAAUCUGACUAGAGUAGGAGGCAUUUUAUUACCCAAUUAUGUAGUAACUUACUGAAAGGCAGUAAUAAGAUGUUAUAUAAAUGUAUAUAUCUGAUGAGUGCAUGUGUGUUUGUAAACGUGGGUGUGUAUGUACAUGUGUGUUUCUUGAAUGAAACUGCUUAAAGUCUACUGGGUCAAAGAAUAAAUUCUACUGUUAAACAGCUUGUUUUACUGAAAAUAGGAGCAAAAGAACACAAAACCAGCCACACUGGACCAAACCCCAAACAUACACCCAGACCAGCAUCCAGAGAGUGUUCAGAUGGUCAGCAUUGAAUGCUUUUGGUACAUGGCGUCAGUCACGCUGCUAUUCCUUGUUGUGCUGUGUGCAUCGAGUCAAUUCUGUGUUUUCAUCCAGUUCACACAAACAACCUGACUUGCUGCUAUUUCUCAACAGCAGCUUCUCUGUCCUUGGCAUCAUCUUCUAGUUGUGAUAUAUCCCCUGACACCAGAAACCCUCCAUGACCAGGAUUAUCCUUUUCCUCCUCUAUGCAAUGCCUUCGAGUCAGAGUCUCCUGCCUGUGCCUAUUCCAGAGCAAAAACGCAGAGCCUCCCUUCAUCCCACACAAGCACCUGCCUUCCAAGGUACUCACAGCUCACCCACUUUUCACUCAGAUUCUUUGAGGACUGACUGAAAUCUGAGGUGGAUGCAAGCUCUGAAGAACAGAUCCAUUUCAGGUUCAGGUUGGAUAUUAGGAGAAGAGCAGUGCUGCAGUGGCACAGGCUGCCCAGGGAGGUGGUGGAGUCACCAUCCCUGGAGGUGUUCCAGAGCUGUGUGGAUGUGGCACUGAAGGACAUGGUUAGUGGGCAUGGUGGGGGUGGGCUGGUGGUUGGACUGGGCAUUCUAGAGGUCUUUUCCAGCCUUAAUGAUUCUAUGAUUUUUUCAACCCUCCGAUAUCCAAAACAUUCCCCAGGUUUCAUGAGCUUCUGCUGACCCUCAAAACCCACAAACUACUUAUAUAGCCAGUAAUUUUAUAUGACCAGUCACAAAACAAAGAAGGUAUUGUGUGGAAACACUGAGUCUGAUCUACACUUUGUAGAAAAAAUCUGCUGUUCAGCUCUUUGUAACUGUAUGCUGGGGGUGGCUCCAGGAAAGCUUCUAAGUGUGACCGUGGAAGUCUGGCUCAGUCCCUGUAGAUAUCAACAAAAAAACAGGAAAAUGUCCAUUGUCUUUGGCAGAACCAGAGACUGGUGCAUAGAUGCAUGAUGGAAAAAAACUUCUCAUACCUACUUACUGAACAAAACUACAGCCGUAGGCUCAUUGUUGUUGCAGUGGGAGUUAUGCAAGUGCAAACUGGCAUUAGCACAGUGUUCCAAGACUUAAUAUCAUUCCAGGCAAUUUACUGCUCUCCAAUAUUAAAGCUGCUGUCCGUACAAAAACAACAGCACACAGUGGCACAUCUUUUAUUUUCUGUAUUUAUUUUCAGCUAUGCUUAGCUGAGCUACCUUAGCAGUGUUGCUUUCAUAAUGUUAAAUCUGUACUCAUGUUACAGCAAACAAUAAUGCUGAAGGAGCUAUGAAAAUUAGUUCCUCCUCUUCUGGGAAACAUCACCUUCUAAGCCCUUGUAGGACCUGUUGCAGCACACUACACUAGUCCAGGAAAUGUUUUAUCACACUGUUGUACAAUAACUGAUUUUGGCUCAGUAGAAGUAUUUACAGGAAAAAAAAAAAAAAUGUUGUGCCUUGGUUUUCCAGGAAAGAGGGAUGCCAAACCAGGAGACAAGCCCCAGUCCCAUUUCUCCCAGCAGACUGUUCUGGCCUCUAGGUCUUGGUUAGGCUCUUUCACAUUUGUUCUCCUUCUGGCUCCACAACUUUUGCACUCCUGUCAGCACCAUGACACAGACUGAAAAGCAAUUACCCUCUUUAGAGGUCCCUUCCAUCCCAAAAUCAUUCUUCUCCCAAAUCAGAGCUGUGCAUCCCAUCUUUCUCCAGACAGAAGUGAAGGGAUCACAUCCUGGUGAACAGCUGUAAACAGUGUGUCUAAGGUGCAGCCUAGGGUCUGUAGCAGUGGCAGCUAUCACACCUUCAACAUUGGUGCUGACAGAUACCUUCAGCAAUAGUUCCUGCUUCUGCCUCUGAGACAGGUCAUGUGCCAUGUUGAAAUGUUUGAAUAGGCUUCCCACUUUAUGCAGAGGAUUUGGGUCUGUAAGCGCACCUAACUCUUUCCACAGAAUUUAUAGGGAGAAUAAAUCCCUAAUUCAGGCAGGCCCCAUCUUCCAGCUCCUCAAUGUCUUUCUUACAGUGAGGGGCCCAGAACUGAACGCAGCACUCGAGGUGCAGCCUCACCAGAGCUGAGUAAAGAGGAACGGUCACCUUCCUGCUCUUGCUGGCUGCACUAUUGCUGAUACAAACCAGGAUAGCAUUGGCCUUCUUGGCCACCUGGGCACACUGCUGGCUCACAUUCAGCUGGCUGUCAACCAACACCUCCAGAAUCUUUUCCUCCACUCUGCUUUCCAGCUGCCAUGCCUCAUGUCUAUAGUGAUGCGUGAGGUUGUUGUGACCAAAGUGCAGGACCCAGCACUUGGUUGUGUUGAAGCUCACACAAUUGGCCUCAGCCCAUCGAUCCAGCCUGCCCAGAUCACUCUGUAGGGUCUUCCUACCCUCAGGCAGAUCAACACUUCCUUCCAACUUGAUAGUUGUCUUCUUAGAAGUCUGUCUUAACCAUGCAGCAUGGCAAAUAAAGCAAAAAAAGAACUAUGCCUUUUCAUUCCAGCAAACCAGACAGCUGCCCCUGAAUGACAUAGAAAGAAAGAGGACCAAAAAAAAAAAACAAAAAAAACAAGAAAAAAAAAUAAGAUGAGGAAGCCUUAAUUAAAAGAUAAACACAAAUGAAAUCAAAACAGUCAAUGGUAGUUCAACUCUAAUUGAAUUUUAUCGUCAGCAGAGCUGCUGUUGUUUUUCCCUUCCUCCCAGACUGAAAAGCUCUGGAGAGGAAAUUUCCCUCAUCAAAUUUCACAUUCUGUUCAGUUAGCUUGUGAUUUUUAAAAAAAAAAUAUUUUUUUUAAGAAGGACAUAGAAAAGAAAAAAGAAACUUGAAAGGAACCUGUUUAAUUCCAACCAAGGCACUUAAACCAACCCACUUUCUACCAGACUGUUCAGGGAACUGAGGGUGUCAGCUCUAAUCAUCUGUCCCUGUUUUCUGAGGGUAAAUUCCCCAUGUGUCUCAGAACUGGGGAGAAGAGGCUCUGGAGUCCUCCAAGGAAUUGGAUUGUAAUUCUAAUGUGAUGGCAUCAGCUAAUUAGCAGCUCAAAGAAAUCUCACCUUCGGCCCCUCUCCAGAUUUUUCUCCAAUUAUGGCUAAGGGUGAAGCCCUCAGAAGGGAGGUGAGGAAGGGGAAAGUUGUCCAUGGGUUACAGGGCUACAAAGAAUAAAAAUGACUGAGAUAUUCAGUGGCACUCCUGUUUAAUUCUGACCAAUGGGAGCGUUAGCAUCCUGCAAAUAGGGACAAGUUAAUGUGGGAGAUACUAAGCAGAGUAAAGUCCCAAAGCCUCUUCUCUGGCUCCUUGCACAGAAAUAAGUUUUACCGGUGUCAAUGCAAGAGACUUACCAGUCUCUGGAUAUGAUUGCGCUUUUUCACAUAUGUAUGUGAACAUAAACAUACAUUUUUCUUGAGGUUCUGCUUUAAAAUUCUUAACUACAGAGGUUCUUUUGCUGCACUCUUUUCUCAUACAUAUCAUGCGGAGCAGCAAACACUGUUUACUGCAAGAAGAAAAAUCACUCGCACACCAAAGGCAGAGAACACUUUAGUUGCUGCUAUCCUCAAAAGAGUUUUCUGCUGUGCCCAGAAAGUUUGGGUCUGUUUUUCAUACCUCUUUGGCACUGGAAGACUCUCCCACUGAAACCAAUGUAGUCCCUUUUUCACGGAAAACAAAGCUCUUCCCAACUGCCAUAAAAUGGGACUGCCUUAUAAAUGCCAUAAAAUCACACAGAGUUUUACAAAUGCCAUAAAUGUGGCCAUGCAAAGAGUGAAAAUAUUUUCAAGUGUGGUUGCAUCUCUCCCCAGUAACUGUGAGAUGCCUGUCAAAGUACAAAGCUUUGGAACAGUCAUAUCACUGUACAAAGCAAUAUAAAGCUCAGAUGAUGACAUCAACAAAUGCUCAGUGCUGACACUUAAAAGAGCAGCUGUAAAAAAUAGCACUCCCUGAUAAAAAGCACAACAUCAGCCAUAGACUUUAUGCAAAAUAUGUAUCUACUAUACAAACAUACUGGGCUGCAAAAUAUAGCUAAUAAAAUAAGUGAUUUGCCUGCCUGCUGCUUCCAGAAUCAUUCACAGUCCUCAGUUGGCAUUAUUCCCUAGGGGUGAUUAUUUCCUAGCAGCAAAGAAGAAACUCUUGAUGAUUUUUUUCUCUUUUGUUGGCAGUGAAGAGCCACCCUUGAAAAUCUGAUUUUAACUCACUAAGAUUGUUACGAGCUCCCUGUACAAAAAAAAAAAUAAUAAUUAAAUUAAUAUUUUAAUAUAUAAUACAAUUUAAUUAAAAACAAUUAAAAGCAGGUGCUAAAUAAAUGAAAUAACUUACCUCUCCCAGGGAUAGCAUCUGUUCUUCCAGCUCAGAAAUAUCACUGGCAUGCCUGUGUUUCUACACAGAGUGGAUCACAGGGCACCAGUCAUGCUAAAUGUCACCUUGCAGUAAAAUGUCACAUGGUGGGUGUUCCAUCAUUGUAGACAUUCAAGAUCAGGCUGGAGGGGCUCUGAGCACCCUGAUCUAGCUGUAGGUGUUCCUGUUCAUUGCAGGUGAGUUGGACUUGAUGGCCUUUAAGGGUCUCUUCCAACUCAAAUGAUUCUAUGAUGAGAGAGUCAAGAUACAUCUAGUUUUAGCCAAUGCAGAGAAAUAAUCUGGUGAGUCAUCAGCCAGUUUCAACAUAGAGGCCACUCUUGAGCCAUAUUCUUGGGUGCUGUAUCUAAGCAAAGACAUCUCCUUUUUUCAGAUGGCCCCAGGCAGUUCCAUAGACAGUGCUGGCACACCCCUGUGUCACUCAUACAUGCUUUCAUACUCACUUCUUGCUUGUACUUGAAGUGAAUAAAAUCUCUCCCUUGCACACACUAUCAAUUUUGUGAUCUAUGUGACAAUAAAAAUCACUCUGAAAAAAGCCUCCGAAUUUCUCUGCUGGUAAGGGUGAUAUUUGCUGCCUAAAUACGGCUCAAGAAAUCUUUCUAGGGGUGUUCAGACCGCAAUAACUUCUUAACAGAAAACAAAGGCCUUUUUCCUUGGCUGAUCUCCAAAGGACCUUAUUUUUCAGGGGUGGCAAGCUACUUUGCAUGUACUACACAGAGAACUGGCUGUACUUCCACCUAUUAACUUAUUAUUAUCUGGUUUGCAUUCACUUUCAUGGGAAGCCAUCCUCCUGUUAAGGGAAGCCUUUUAUCAGAGGCAUACUUCAGUAGAGGACUGCAUUUUAUGGGUAGCUUGGCAAAAGUUUUCUCCCACCAGCUCUUUCCAACGGUCAGGUAGUUCACAUUUCAUCAAUGAAGUCAACCAGCUACCCAAAGUUAGGUGUAUUUUUAACUAUUUAAACGUUGGAUUCUAAUCCUGGUGAUCCAGCAGCCUUGCAGAGAAGGACUUAGGGGUCCUAGUGGACAAGAAGCUGGACAUGAGCCAGCAGUGUGUGCUUGCAGCCUGGGAGGUCAACUGUGUUCUGGGCUACACUAGAAGAGGGGUGGCAGAAGGGAGAGGGGGGUGGUUGUCCCCCUCUUCUCUGUACUCAUGAGAUCCCAUCUGGACUACUGCAUCCAGGCCCGGGGACACUGGUACAAUUAAGAUGAGGAGCUACUUGGAGUGAGCCCAGAGGACAGCCACAAAGAAGAUCAGAGGGCUGGAGCACCUCUUCUAUGAAGAAAGGUUGAGGGAGUUGGGCUUGUUUAGCUUGGAGAGGGAAAGGUUCUGGGGAGACCUCAUUCAGCCCUCCAGUCCUUUAGGGGAGCUCAUAAGCAGGAGGGAGAUUGACUUUUUACACAGUCUAAUAGUGGUAAGACAAGGGGGAAUGACUUUUAACUAAAACAGGGGAGAUUUAGGUUAGAUGUGUUGUGGUUUAACCUGGCAAACAGCUAAACACCACAGUCUUUCACUCACUCAUAUCCUCUCAGCGGGAUGGGAAAAAGAACUGGGAAAAAAAAAUUACAAUUCAUAGAUAGGAAUAAAAACAAUUUACAAAAUCAGGGGGAAAAAAGAGAGAAAUAAAAAUAAUUAUAUAUAAAUUUAUAUACAUAUAUAUAUUUACAAACUAGUGACACACAAAACAAUCGCUCACAACCAGUGCCCAGCCAGUCCAUGGGUAGUGGCAGCCACCUCCACCCAUGACCGACUCCCCUCAGUUUUACAGUUUUUUUCACAUGAUGUCAUAUGGUAUUGAAUAUUUCUUCAGUCGUUUUAGGUCAACUGUCUUGGUUUUGUCCCUUCCCAGCUCCUUGUGCCUCCUCAGCCUCCCUCUCUUGCAGGACGGUAUGAGAAGCUGAGAACUGAAAUAUCCUUGGCUCUGUACAGCGCUGCUGAGCAAUAACAAAAACAUUGGCUUGUUAUCAACACUGUUUUUCUUCCAAAACCAAAAUAUAAGCAUCACACCUGACACUGAAGAAAAUUAACUCUGUCCCAGCUGAAACCAGGGCAAGAUGUUAGCCAGAAAUUCUUUACUCAGAAGGUUCUGAGGCACUGGCACAGCUGCCCAGAGAAGCUGUGGAUGCCCCAUCCAUGGACGUGCUCAAGGCCAGGUUGGAUGGGGCUCUGGGCAGCCUGAGCUGGUGGGAGGCAGCCCUACCCAUGGCAGGGGGUAGGGCUUUAAGUUCUCUUCCAACCAACCAUUCUAUGAUUCUAUGAUCCCUGAAAAUGGCAGACAGUGUUUCCCAAGCACCCGGGCUCCCCAGAAUGACACCAACACUCAUCCCUCUGCGCCUUCUUACACACAGCACUGCCUCAACUCAGCUUUUCUCCACAGAGAGCUGCUUCACCAAAGAAAAUAAUCAAAGUACCCAAAAUCCACUGGGGUGCUUUCAGGGCUUUCUACAAAGCUUCCUGCAAACCUCCAAUUUCCCUGCUGUAAAUAUACCUCUGACAUUUUAGGUGGAGUCUCCUGGGAGUACUGUGGAGUCAACACAGAGUCAACAAAGCGAGUUUAUGGCUGGGUAAAUCUCAGCAAAAGUAAAGCAAUGUUCUUCCUGGCUGGUCUUUCUCUUUUCUCAGCCAGACUCCAUUUUGUCCACCCGGGGGUUUCUUUGUUGGCUGUUUUUUAUUAUUUUCCUCUCCUUGUUUUAAAAUGCCGAUGCAUUGACAGAUGUCUCCCAUAUAUUUCCAUUCUAUGGCACUUUAAAUCUUGCUGCUGUAGCAGCUACAAGUCCUUUCAAGGGAUUAUUGCCUUCAUUCUUACACCUGGGUCAUCUGGAUAUCUGAAGGGAGAAAGCAGCAUUCUCUGCUGGCUCUGUGAUUAAAAUGAUUUAUCUUGCCACAUCUCACAGUAUCACAUUGAGCACAAUGCCACCACUCUUCUUGAACACAGGCUCCUGCACAAGACUGCACUAAUGGGUUUUCUUCCCCCAGGCAGGAAUGAUUUCAAAACCCCAAUGUUUUGUUCUGUGGCUACAAAAAUACAUGAUGCUCAAAGCCAAAUUCAGAGGGAAGCAAUACAUUAGGUGGGAACCACAGUAAAACUCAAAGCAACCUUGUGUAUUAGUCAGGUAAUGUAAAGCCAGCGUCCAGAAUGAUGAUAGCAGGAAUAUGUUCAUUAACUGAAGGCAUCACACCUGCCUUUCUGCUGCUGAGCUCUGCAAUAGCAUGCAGUUCUCACACCCAGAAACAUCUCUCAGAAUCAGGUAAUAUAGUUUAAUCUAAGCAUUACCUCAUUUAUCCUAUUAUAGACUGGAAUUUUAUCUUUCUUCUUACAUCACUUUUUUUUUCUCCUUUACAACAAAAUUCACAUUUAAAAUAAAUGAUCUAAGCAGCAGUUGCAUUGCCCAGCACAGUGGCAAUGUUCACAAAAUGCCAUGGAGAGAUAAAACAAAGCCAGGGUUUACUGAACGUUGGAGUUUUCCUUUGGAAAAUAAAUGUUUUACCAUAUGUUGCCUUGUAUCUUGAAUUUCCUGCCUUUAGAGAGUCCAUUCAGCCUUGUAUUUGACUCUGAGUGGAAGAAGAAUGCAAUACACGUGUCAACUCAUAAUACAGCCUGGCCCUAUCCUGAUGUUCUCUCUUAACAGAUGCUGUUGCUACAUAUCUCAGCUGGUAAGGCAAAGCAGAUUGAUGGCCAUUGGGGAAGGUUGGUGCAGUCCCACACCCUGAGCACUGCUGUUCCCAUUAUGUAAAUCCUAAAAGCCCUUGCUUUUUGACUCUCUGAGCCAGGUGUGUGGCAGCACCACUUACAACUUGUGACCCUAUCAUAGAUCAGUCCUGUAUGUUUUUUCCCAUUUCUCACUAGUGAAAACAGUAGAUACAAAGGCCAGGGCUGGAUGACUAGCUGCCCCACCACUCCGGCAUAUGACAGCGCCAGCCCACCCUGCCUAUUAGGUGAUCAAAUGAGGGAAACAGAGCUCUUCAACAGCAAACUGCUCAUUGCGCAGGCUUUCCUACCUGGGACCAGCUCAGGAGGGCCCCAGAUCCCUCUCAGCCCAGCUGAGGGGGACAGAUAACUCCCCAUACUGGAAAUAAGUGUCCAACCGACCAGGCAGGCCAGCUGCCUUUGCAUUUUCUUUAUCAGUCACCUGCUGUAUGACCCCAGUCCUGUACUGUGCACUUGUGAUGGGAGCAAAGAGAUCUCCUUGCUAUCUGUACAAGACAAUCGAGUCAUUUAGCAGCAAUUAGGCUCCCUACCAGCUUAAGUCAUUUACAAUUAUACAAUGGCUCCUAACAGCUCCAGAGUCCCAAGACACUAUUUGAGGGAGGUCAUAAACCAGUCAGGGGUGUUGGCAGAGCUGAAAAGGAGCAUGGAGCUAAAUAAGGAAAAAUGAGGUAGCCCAUAGGGUUUAACCCUGAAGUGCCUCAGUGAGAACCACUCUUCUAGCAUUCAAACACUCGUCACCCCCUUUCCGGAGUGAAGAUAAUAGUCAGCCAACUCACUUUUCCAACUUCUGUUUCUGUGUCUACGUAAUAAGCAUACAGAUGAAAGGGACAAUUUUUUUUAUUUCCUAGGAAGCAGCACUGUACAGUGCAUUCUUAGCAUUUUAUUUCAUUUUAUUUUAUUUUAUUUUAUUUAUUUAUGUGUCAUGCUCCUUAUAUGCAUUUAUAUGGUUGCUUUUUAUCGAGACACUAGGACUCCUGGAGGUGCUGUGGCUGGCACUUAACCUCACAUACUAGGUAAAACUUUGGGCCCCCUCAGCAGACCUUGCAAAGGCAUGGACUCCAUUUCAGGUGCCCUAAACCUUCCACAGAAAGUGCAGAAGGAGAUCAUUUUCAUAGGAUAAACCAACCCAUGCAAACUGUUUCCUUGGAAAUCCACCGCGGAAAGCCUUGCAAAUGAGAGGUUUUGAUAUCUGUGCUCACAUCCAUAACACUGUUUUCUGAUUGCCAGUGCACUAUUUCUCUGUUGCUAGCACUUGCCACACUAGGAAUCAAAGCCCCACAAGACAUUACAAGAACACUGCUAGACCAGUGCUGCCGAUCUCUGUCUGCAUGUUCUAACACCUACAGCAAUCAGAGCUAUUGCUGUGCUGGUGAGGCCUGAUCUUGUGUGCUAUCAACCAUUCACUUGUACACGAUGUCCUGAAGGACAGCAAGGAUGCAGAUAAAAUGCUGCAACCAACUGCUGUAUUGCUUGAGACAGUGCUAAAUUUGUUCUCUAAACGUUUGCCCCCAGUGCAUGAGCCAUCCUAUACGCGAUGCUUCUGCUCAGCUGCUGGUGAAGCUGGAGGAAAUUUUUUAGCUCAGCUGCCUCAUGCAGCAGUGCUUGGAGAGCAGAGCCAUCCCCUAGAGGAAAUGAGGCUACCUGAAGAUCUCAAGGAGACAAGGCGGAGAUCACCAGAUGAAUUUUCUUCUCCCAGUGGCGAUAUUUCUUCAGAUACGCCAUUAACAGCGGCCUGUCUGGGAGCACAGCCUUCAUUUUCUAAGGAAAAAGGUUGGUGACCCCUCAGCACUGCCCAGGCCUGCAAUUGCUACUGGCCAUCAAGUGCAUGGCGCCAGGAACUUGCUCCCUGAUUACCAAAGCACCCAUCCAGUCUAUACCAAUUACAGUGGGACACUUACAGUGACUUUUUUUUUUAAGCUGUUUUGCAGCAGACUUUUUCCUAGCAUCAUUGCCCUGCCUUGCUUUCUUACCUCUACCAUGCAACACGCGCUUCAGCACCUGGAAGAUUGUCUGUAAAGACAAUCCCCUUCCUUCCUUAGACAAGCAACAGCCACACCAGCAGGAUUAAAGUGUUCAUUUAAGAGCAAUCAA